CUGGAAGGCGGGGGUGGCGGUAAGGGGGGCAGAGGGAGGGCCCGGCCUCUGACGUUUACAAAAAGGAAUCCCCUUUCCCGCUGGUGAGCUCACUUUCAGCUCAAGCACGCUGAUGCGCGCACACACGUAACACACAUAAACAGUGCUUCUCCAUGGUCUCAGGGGAAAGGGGGCACCGAGGGAACAGCCAGCAGACGUUUGAGCUUCGCCGGUAGGAUGUAGCCAGAUGUGGACUCGCUGAGCUGGCUCAGUUCAGCAGGAACAGGGGCUUGGUCUACCCACGGCGCGUAAAGGCGGAGCAGGCACCGGCCAGGGAAGAGAGGACCGCACCCAGCGAAUCCUUGGCUUGGAGUCCAGGGCAGAAAACGGCACCUUCCCUGGCUCUUCAAGGUUGGGUCUUUUAAAGUCAAAUGCGAAUCUGCAACACCCAUUCCUGGAGGCUCGGCCAUCCGAGGGGGGCCAUGACCACCUCGCUUCACGUCCAUCACAAGCCACUCCCCAUGUGAAUCAUCCAUCCCUCUGAUAAAAAACAAUUUCAAUAAAAGUGUUUCUUCUCAA